AGAAUGGUAAAAUUGCAUUUCCAUUACUUAUCAAAAUUUCAUUCCCAUUUAUGCAGGGAUCUUUCUGAAGCUGGCCAAAGGGCAGGGAAAAACAUGGUUUGUUGCAAAGCCUUCGACCGAUGAUGCAGCACUGGCUUCCAACAUAAACUCGGCCUGUAAUGAUCUUGGAUCCUUGGGAUGGAACUGCAGCCAGAUACAGCCGACCGGAGGCUGCUUCGAGCCCGACACUCUCUUCAACCAUGCAUCCUUUGCCAUGAAUUCUUACUACCAAGCCUAUGGUCGUCAGGAACAUACAUGUUACUUCACGGGCUCUGCUCUCAUCACCAUCUCCGACCCAAGCUAUGGAAACUGUCAGUAUGCGUGAGGAGUACU